ACAAUAUUUAAUUGGUGCAUGUGUAAUCUUCUAACGUAGCUGACGGUUAAAUUAGCUAUUGUAUUAAACAAUACAUUAGCCUUGCAUAAUUUGCAAGAUUAUUGUGAUUAAAUUGUUUCAAUAUAGAGAUAUAUUGUUACUUCACUUAAUCUUUUACUUGCUUAUUAAAAUUCGAUUAACCGUUUUAACUGACAUAAAUAUAUGAUCAAGAGGUGAUUGGGUUUUAGUUGGUAAGUAUGUGAAUUAGUUAGCAAGUUACGGAGUGCUGUGAAAUUAUU
rnacentral:lncRNA from 1 species